UACGGGGGGGGGGCAAGCGUUGUUCGGAAUUACUGGGCGUAAAGGGCUCGUAGGUGGUCAACUAAGUCGGACGUGAAAUCCCUCGGCUUAACCGGGGAACUGCGUCCGAUACUGGAUGACUUGAGUUCGGGAGAGGGAUGUGGAAUUCCAGGUGUAGCGGUGAAAUGCGUAGAUAUCUGGAGGAACACCGGUGGCGAAGGCGGCAUCCUGGACCGAUAUUGACGCUGAUGCGCGAAAGCCAGGGGAGCAAACGGG
rnacentral:rRNA from 1 species